GCGAAAGUGGCGGAAUUGGUAUACGCGCUGGAUUUAGGAUCCAGUGCCCGAAAGGGCGUGGGGGUUCGAGUCCCCCCUUUCGCA
rnacentral:tRNA from 2 species